AGGUUAUAUCAAAAACUCUGUGAAACAUGUGUAUGCGUAAGGCUAUACGGUCAUGUGCUUCUGUCACUUGAGUCGGAUACAGGCUUGUGGGAUACUUCAAGUUUAGACUUUGCGGAGGUAGGUAACCAAUCCGCAGAAGGAGUUAAAUGACUCCAACAGAAAACAGAAUGGCGCUUGAGUGUUUUGCAAUCAAAAAGCAACGUCUUGUCGCUUCCAUAAUAGACGCCCCUGUGGGGAAGAACCGAGAACACCUAACCGGGUGGUGCCGAGUAGGAGAAAGCUCGGAAUACCAACAAGGAAGUUUGCAGUUGCGGUGACGUAAGUUGCCUAUAAGACAAGGUCGGUGUGCGAGUAGCCCAAAUCUGCAACGAUUUUAACAGAUGAGUAUUUUAAUAUUUGGAAAUAUGUAAUCUUCUGAAUAGUGGGUGAAAGUUGCGGGUAAGCAAUCCCGCGGUAGAGCUGGCAAUUAUGCUGGGGUAAGAAGCUAUGGGGUCGCUCCCUAUGGUUCAGACUUAUCUCCUACGUGGCUGAAUAUUGGGGCAUUACACAAGAGUAAGGCGAAAGUCUCUCAUAGUUUUUGAUGUAGC
rnacentral:ncRNA from 1 species